rnacentral:rRNA from 1 species
GAGUUUGAUCAUGGCUCAGAUUGAACGCUGGCGGCAUGCCUUACACAUGCAAGUCGAACGGCAGCAUGAUCUAGCUUGCUAGAUUGAUGGCGAGUGGCGAACGGGUGAGUAAUACAUCGGAACGUGCCCUGUAGUGGGGGAUAACUAGUCGAAAGAUUAGCUAAUACCGCAUACGACCUGAGGGUGAACGUGGGGGACCGCAAGGCCUCAUGCUAUAGGAGCGGCCGAUGUCUGAUUAGCUAGUUGGUGGGGUAAAGGCCCACCAAGGCGACGAUCAGUAGCUGGUCUGAGAGGACGAUCAGCCACACUGGGACUGAGACACGGCCCAGACUCCUACGGGAGGCAGCAGUGGGGAAUUUUGGACAAUGGGGGCAACCCUGAUCCAGCAAUGCCGCGUGUGUGAAGAAGGCCUUCGGGUUGUAAAGCACUUUUGUCCGGAAAGAAAUCGCACUUACUAAUAUUAGGUGUGGAUGACGGUACCGGAAGAAUAAGGACCGGCUAACUACGUGCCAGCAGCCGCGGUAAUACGUAGGGUCCAAGCGUUAAUCGGAAUUACUGGGCGUAAAGCGUGCGCAGGCGGUUGUGCAAGACCGAUGUGAAAUCCCCGGGCUUAACCUGGGAAUUGCAUUGGUGACUGCACGGCUAGAGUGUGUCAGAGGGGGGUAGAAUUCCACGUGUAGCAGUGAAAUGCGUAGAGAUGUGGAGGAAUACCGAUGGCGAAGGCAGCCCCCUGGGAUAACACUGACGCUCAUGCACGAAAGCGUGGGGAGCAAACAGGAUUAGAUACCCUGGUAGUCCACGCCCUAAACGAUGUCAACUAGUUGUUGGGGAUUCAUUUCCUUAGUAACGUAGCUAACGCGUGAAGUUGACCGCCUGGGGAGUACGGUCGCAAGAUUAAAACUCAAAGGAAUUGACGGGGACCCGCACAAGCGGUGGAUGAUGUGGAUUAAUUCGAUGCAACGCGAAAAACCUUACCUACCCUUGACAUGCCACUAACGAAGCAGAGAUGCAUUAGGUGCUCGAAAGAGAAAGUGGACACAGGUGCUGCAUGGCUGUCGUCAGCUCGUGUCGUGAGAUGUUGGGUUAAGUCCCGCAACGAGCGCAACCCUUGUCUCUAGUUGCUACGAAAGGGCACUCUAGAGAGACUGCCGGUGACAAACCGGAGGAAGGUGGGGAUGACGUCAAGUCCUCAUGGCCCUUAUGGGUAGGGCUUCACACGUCAUACAAUGGUGCAUACAGAGGGUUGCCAAGCCGCGAGGUGGAGCUAAUCCCAGAAAAUGCAUCGUAGUCCGGAUCGUAGUCUGCAACUCGACUACGUGAAGCUGGAAUCGCUAGUAAUCGCGGAUCAGCAUGCCGCGGUGAAUACGU